GUUAGGGUGGCAGAGCCCGGUUUCAUGCAGGGGGCCUAAGUCCCUCUUAUCAGAGAUUCAAAUCCUCUCCCUAACC
rnacentral:tRNA from 1 species